rnacentral:rRNA from 1 species
GAUGAACGCUGGCGGCGUGCCUAAUACAUGCAAGUCGAGCGAACAGACGAGGAGCUUGCUCCUCUGACGUGAGCGGCGGACGGGUGAGUAACACGUGGAUAACCUACCUAGAAGACUGGGAUAACGUCGGGAAACCGGAGCUAAUACCGGAUAAUAUAUUGAACCGCAGGGUUCAAUAGUGAAAGACGGUUUUGCUGGCACUUAGAGAUGGAUCAGCGCCGCAUUAGCUAGUUGGUAAGGUAACGGCUUACCAAGGCAACGAUGCGUAGCCGACCUGAGAGAGUGACAGGCAAACCUGGACCGAGACACGGGCCCAGCUUCUUACGGGAGGAAGAGUUGGGAAAUUUUGAGCAUGGGGCGAAAGCCUGACGGAGCAACGCCGCGUGAGUGAUAAAGGUUUCCGGUUCGUAAAUCCCUGUUAUUAGGGCAAAACAAAUGUGUCAGUAACCAUGCACGUAUUGACGGUACCUAAGAAGAAGGCCACGCUUAACUCGGU